rnacentral:tRNA from 1 species
AGAGAUUUAGGAUAAACAUAGACCAAAAGCCUUCAAAGCUUUAAGCAGGAGUGAGAACCUCCUAAUCUCUG